rnacentral:rRNA from 1 species
GACGAACGCUGGCGGCGUGCCUAAUACAUGCAAGUUGAGCGCUGAAGGUUGGUACUUGUACCGACUGGAUGAGCAGCGAACGGGUGAGUAACGCGUGGGGAAUCUGCCUUUGAGCGGGGGACAACAUUUGGAAACGAAUGCUAAUACCGCAUAAAAACUUUAAACACAAGUUUUAAGUUUGAAAGAUGCAAUUGCAUCACUCAAAGAUGAUCCCGCGUUGUAUUAGCUAGUUGGUGAGGUAAAGGCUCACCAAGGCGAUGAUACAUAGCCGACCUGAGAGGGUGAUCGGCCACAUUGGGACUGAGACACGGCCCAAACUCCUACGGGAGGCAGCAGUAGGGAAUCUUCGGCAAUGGACGAAAGUCUGACCGAGCAACGCCGCGUGAGUGAAGAAGGUUUUCGGAUCGUAAAACUCUGUUGGUAGAGAAGAACGUUGGUGAGAGUGGAAAGCUCAUCAAGUGACGGUAACUACCCAGAAAGGGACGGCUAACUACGUGCCAGCAGCCGCGGUAAUACGUAGGUCCCGAGCGU